rnacentral:lncRNA from 1 species
CCAUACAUCCGUCCUCCACCAGUCGCGGACUGUGGGCCGGGGGGGAGGGGUGGCAUUAUUAAUCCGGGAAGAUUGUUCUUUCAGGGCUCUACCAUCGCCAUCGAUCCCCGGCAUUGAAUGUGUUGGCCUAGUGUGGGGCUCCGAGGUGAGCUUGGCUGUCUGGCUGGUGUACCGGCCACCUAGCGCACCAACAGCCACCCUGUCAGGCCUGCUGGAGGCGGUGGCCGGCUGGGCCUUGGAGUUCCCUAACCUAUUGGUAUUGGGGGACUUCAACAUCCAUGCUGAUGCCACUCCCACCUCACAAGCUCUGGACCUGGUGUCUUCCAUGGCGACACUAGGGCUCUCCCAGUUUGUUUCGGGCCCCACACAUCAAACAGGCCACACGCUGGAUUUGAUCUUUGGCGUCGGUAUAGAUGUGAUCAUGUUUCCUUCGAUGAAGGUGCCAUGGUCUGAUCACUACGCUCUGAAAGCCAGGAUUGACGUUCCACCCCCACCCUGCUUGGGUGGCGAGCCGAUUUGGGCUCGCCCGCGGAGGCUGAUGGACCCUGAUAGAUUCCGUCAAGCCUUGCGGGACCUUGCUCCCCCUGGCGACUCAUUGACUGAGCUUGUUGAGGGCUGGAAUACCCUGCUCCUGGCAGCCAUCAAUGAGAUCGCACCUAAGCGCCCUCUGCGACCCCGCAGAAACCGGGCUCCCUGGUUUACCGAGGAGCUCCGGAAAAUGAAGCGGGACCUCAGACAGCUAGAGCGAGUAUGGCGGGGUGCCCGUGACGGAGCUUCAAGAACAUCCUAUAGGGUUUUUAUGAAAACCUAUGAGAUGGCAGUGAAGGCCGCUAAGAAGUCCUACUUCUCGGCCUCCAUUGCAACCGCCAGCUCUCGCCCGGCGCAAUUAUUUAGUAUAAUUCGGUCUUUAACGUCCCUCGAAGGACAGCCAAAUUUAAAUAACAAUUUGACACACAGCUGUGAGGCAUUUGCGAGCUUUUUUGCGGAGAAGGUCCUGUUGCUCCGCCAUGACCUCCCCGCCAAUUUCGAUACAAUAAAGGAACUGGAGGCCCCUCGACUGUCCUCGGGUCCAGUAUUGGACCACUUUGACCGGAUAUCCCCAGCCGAUGUGGACAGACUCCUCUGAGC